GCAGAUCAGCAUGCUGCGGUGAAUACGUCCCCGGGUCUUGUACACACCGCCCGUCACACCAUGGGAGCCGGGAAUGCCCGAAGUCAGCGGCCCAACCGAAAGGAGGGAGCUGCCGAAGGCAGGCCUGGUGACUGGGGUGAAGUCGUAACAAGGUAAC
rnacentral:rRNA from 1 species